AACAAAAAAUGGGCUGGAGAGAUGGCUCAGAGGUUAAGAGCACUGGCUGCUCUUCCAGAGGACCUGAGUUCAAUUCUCAGCACCCACAUGGUGGCUCACAAACAUCUAUAUUGGGAUGAUGUCCUCUUUUGGCAUAAAGGUGUCGUAUAGAUAGAACACUCAUAUACAUUAAAUAGAUCUUUAAA